GGUGCAUAGCAAACAUAGAAAAGCCAAAACGAUUUAUAAUUUGGAACAAGCACUAAUCACCUGGAAAGCAUUCAGAGAAAGUGAUAGUACUAUAUACUAGAAGAAAGCAGUACGGUCGUCAAGCGAAUAUCCAAACACAAGGAAAAAAAAAGUCAUAGAGGAAGAGUUGGUGGAACAAUGAGAAGAUAGGCUGCUUUAUCCCUCAAACAAAGAACGCAAAAGUGAUCCAAGAAACAAAGGGGAAGAGAAGAACGUAAUGAUGAAAAAAUGGCCGCAGAUGGAGUAUAUCCCGGACUUUUGAGAUGGUGAAAAAGUUCCAAAAGUUGCUGGAAUUUCAGUCAAAUCUGGGUCACAUAUGUCCUGAGAGCAAAGACAGAGCAGCAGAUGGUG
rnacentral:lncRNA from 1 species